UCUCUUCACGAACAAACAAGUUGUUGACAUUUUGUGUUAAGUUCCUAAAUACUUCUUCUGGAAAAUUCAGGACAGAAGUUAGAUUUGAGCAGAGACAUCAGCGCCUGCUGUGUGUUUAGACGAUGUUGUUUAGACAGUGGUAA